UUUUAGAGGGAUUACGGGAUUAGCCCAAAUUAAUUAGAUAAUUACCACCCUAAGUUUGAAAUUUGAGAUUUGUCAUUUCAUCUCUUAUUAUUCGAUUUUUAACCUUUCUAAAUUCAAUUUUUAUACUUUCAAAAUGAGAAAAAUACGGUUCCAAAAUCUGAGAGAUUGUAUGUCGUGAUUCUUGCGAGAUUUUCACCUUCCUUUUCUCCAUUCAAACUCCAGUUUCCAUUUCUUUCAAACUUCCCAUUUCAGUAGUUUUUCAUAAUUUGAAUUCAGAAUGGUUUCAAUUAGGUCAGCCUCUUAAAAUCCCCCUGCAAAAAAUGAAGAAAUCAACACUUCGUUGCUUCGCCGGAGCUUCACUUUGUCUUCCUGCAUCAAUAAUCCAGCGGCUUCUCUUUAUUGCUCAGGCUGUUGCUUCGCCGGAGCUGAUGAAUUUCCAGCAGUGGUGGAAAAGUAGCUGCGAGUGGAAGAGAAAGACCUGGUACUUGGAAAUCAAUGCGAAAGGAGAUUUUGGUUAACCAAUGGUUUACUAAUGGUUAACCAAUAAUUUUAAUUUUUGAAAAAAACGAUUUAAAUUUUCUCUGAUGGUGGUCUUGAGUUUUGUUGGGUUCUUGAGUUUUGAACUCUAACUUAAACUUUGUCUUAGUGUGCAACAGUAUGUCCUGAUUUCAAGGUUAAAUUUAGUGUUUAUUUAAUGUAGAUAAUUAUUUUUUGGGCAGGUGCUUUGUGUAUUACCAGCAAAGUUUUUACUGAAUCAAGAUGAAAAAAAUGCUUGAGAAUAGGACGUUAUAUAUGUUUUAGGUGUUGGUUAACUAAUGGUUAACAUUAGGUUAACUGCUAGUUAAUUUGUAAUACAUUUUUUGGUGUUGCGGUCAUUUUCUAUUUUUCUUUUGUGAACGAUGAUGGUGAUGUGGUGGUGGUUCGAUUUUUUCGUGUUGCACAGCCUGCACUUUUGCUGUUUGAAGAAAUGUUUAUGAGAAUAUCUAUUUAUGUUUGCAAUAUAUUAGAUAUUGGUUAACCAAUGGUUAAUAUUAAAUAAACCGUUGGUUAACUUGUAAUAAAUUUUAUUUUAAGUAUAUCAUUAAUAAAAUGGUUAGUAAACUGUUGCUGAA